AUUGAACGCUGGCGGCAGGCCUAACACAUGCAAGUCGAGCGGAUGAGAAGAGCUUGCUCCAUGAUUCAGCGGCGGACGGGUGAGUAAUGCCUAGGAAUCUGCCUGGUAGUGGGGGACAACGUUUCGAAAGGAACGCUAAUACCGCAUACGUCCUACGGGAGAAAGUGGGGGAUCUUCGGACCUCACGCUAUCAGAUGAGCCUAGGUCGGAUUAGCUAGUUGGUGAGGUAAAGGCUCACCAAGGCGACGAUCCGUAACUGGUCUGAGAGGAUGAUCAGUCACACUGGAACUGAGACACGGUCCAGACUCCUACGGGAGGCAGCAGUGGGGAAUAUUGGACAAUGGGCGAAAGCCUGAUCCAGCCAUGCCGCGUGUGUGAAGAAGGUCUUCGGAUUGUAAAGCACUUUAAGUUGGGAGGAAGGGCAGUAAGUUAAUACCUUGCUGUUUUGACGUUACCAACAGAAUAAGCACCGGCUAACUUCGUGCCAGCAGCCGCGGUAAAAC
rnacentral:rRNA from 1 species